AAUCCUAGUACAUACAUUUAAAAUGUGAGACUGUGGACGGCUCAGUAUAUCAGUUAUAAUCUGCUCGAUUGUAAAGGUUAUUGGAUAACCGUGGGAAAUCUAGAGCUAAUACAUGUAGGGCUUGGCCGGUGGUUUACCAUCGGUCAAUUGCAUUUAUUAGUAUCCUCCAACCGUGUGAGCAAUCACAUGUGGCGAAUCUAGAUAACUAUGCAGAUCGUAUGGCCUUGAGCUGACGACAUUUCGAUUGAAUUUCUGCCCUAUCAACUUUGUUGGCAGUGUAGUGGACUGCCAAGGUUUUAACGGGUAACGGGGGAUCAGGGUUCGAUUCCGGAGAGGGAGCCUGAGAAACGGCUACCACAUCCAAGGAAGGCAGCAGGCGCGCAAAUUACCCAAUCCAGACAAUGGGAGGUGGUGACGAAAAGUACCGGAUGGCGACAUUGUUGCCAGUCUGGAAUGAAAACAAUUUAAGCAAUUGAAUUGAGUAACGACUGGAGGGCAAGUCUGGUGCCAGCAGCCGCGGUAAUUCCAGCUCCAGUGGCGUAUCUCAAAGUUGCUGCGCUUAAAACGCUCGUAGUUGGAUCACUCACUAUGCAUCGGUGUGCUUUGCUGUCGUGUUUUAUUGAUUAAACAUUAAGCAAUUAGUGUCCCUUAUCAAAUUGGCAUGGCAGCGGGUUUUUUAGCCGAUGUGUAGUAAUUGCACGUGAGGAUGGUCGUUGACCUUGAGUGUGUUGAUGACUGUGUCUCACGGGGUGUGCCUUGAGUAAAUCAGAGUGCUUAAAGCAGGCUUUACGCUUGAAUGUUGAUAGCAUGGAACGAACAAUCGUGUAUGGUGUGCACUGAGAACGGUGUGCAGUUUCUGUCACUGCAGUGCAUGACACCGACCACCAAUUACGUAUGUUGGUUACGUAUUGGGGUACUGAUUAAGAGGAGCGGUUGGGGGCAUUGGUAUUUGGCAGCGAGAGGUGAAAUUCUUGGACCUGCCAAGGACUAACAAAUGCGAAGGCAUCUGUCCAGACCGUAUCUAUUAAUCAAGAACGAAAGAGAGAGGUUCGAAGACGAUCAGAUACCGUCCUAGUUCUCUCUGUAAACUAUGCCGACCCGGGAUCAGUUUGGAGUUAAUUUGUCCACGCUCGGAGUUGGUCCCCCUGGGAAACCUAAAGUUUUUCGGUUGCGGGGGGAGUAUGGUCGCAAGGCUGAAACUUAAAGGAAUUGACGGAAGGGCACCACCAGGGGUGGAGCCUGCGGCUUAAUUUGACUCAACACGGGAAAACUUACCUGAUCAAAACAUUUUAAGGAUAAACAGAUUGCAGUUCUUUUUUGAUUGAAUGAUUGGUGGUGCAUGGCCGUUCUUAGUUCGUGAAGUGAUUUGUCAGGUCUAUUCCGGUAACGAACGAGACCACAAUCUCCAUUUGACGAGCUGAAGCAGAUGUUGGGUAAACUAAUUUUUGGCAACAAAAGUUUUUUUACUCAAUAUUGUAGGUAUUUGUAUUGUUGCCAUCUCCUCCCGGCCAGUGGAAACACUAGUCGGUGGGGUGGUAAUUGUGCAUUAUCCCUUCAGUCUAGCAGUUCAUGAUUCGCAAGAGUUGUGAGUUGUAUCAUGGAGAGACAACGGAAUAUAUUAAAAUCCGAGGAAGUGUGGCUAUAACAGGUCUGUGAUGCCCUUAGAUGUUCAGGGCUGCACGCGCGCUACAAUGGCAGCGACAAAGAGCAUCUGGAUCGAAAGAUUUGGGUAAUCUUGUAAUCGCUGCCGUGAUGGGGAUUGACGUUUGUAAAUACGUCAUGAAAGAGGAAUCCCUAGUACGUGCGAUUCAUGAAAUCGCGCGGAUUUAGUCCCUGCCCUUUGUACACACCGCCCGUCGCUACUACCGAGCGAAUGGUGUCAUAAUACCUUGGGAGCGGA
rnacentral:rRNA from 1 species